CUCCUACGGGGGGCAGCAGUGGGGAAUAUUGGGCAAUGGGGGAAACCCUGACCCAGCGACGCCGCGUGAGGGAAGAAGGUUUUCGGAUUGUAAACCUCUUUCCUUGGUGACGAUAAUGACGGUAGCCAAGGAGGAAGCCACGGCUAACUACGUGCCAGCAGCCGCGGUAAUACGUAGGUGGCGAGCGUUGUCCGGAAUUACUGGGUUUAAAGGGUGCGUAGGCGGACUGGAAAGUCAGCGGUAAAAUCGAGAGGCUCAACCUCUUUCCGCCGUUGAAACUGUCGGUCUUGAGUGGGCGAGAAGUA
rnacentral:rRNA from 1 species